GUGGGGAGGUGUGUUUAUGUGCACAGGUGUGUGUGUGUGUAUAUACCCACGUGUGGGGGGAGGUGUAUGUGCACAGGUGUGUGUGGGAGGGGUGUGUGUGCACGAGCAUGCGCCUCUGCUGCCAGCCCACACUUUCCCACAAGUCCUUCCUCACAAAGCACGGACAGUUUCACACAUAGAGGUGUCAGAAGACUAUGGUUUCCCUGCUGAGCCAGAGAGCUCUAUUCAGGGCUGUAUUGUGUUUUGUACAGGAUAUGACUGCUCUAGCUGGCAGCCUCGAAUCCCAGAUUUCUCACAUUCUUUGCAAAGCAGGGAGGCUGUUUUGAAGCAGCAUUGUUCAUCAGCAUGAAGCUGUCUCCUGGGAGCAGCAGGUUCUUGUGCAUCUCUCUUUUGCAGCCAGUGGCAUCACCACCCUCAGGUCCCCCUCCCUCCCUCCUUUCUCCCUCUCCUGCUAUCGUGUUGUUUCCUUUUUUGGUCAUACUUGAGCUUUCCUCCAGUUCAUCACUCCAGGGAGGCAGGAGAUAUGUAAAGCACAUCAGCCCCUGGCUUCAUGCUGUCUGCAAUGUGCCCUUUUGUAUGUCGGGUUCAGAGGGACCAAUCAGUCCGUGGCUCGCCUUGUCCGCACUGUGAGCCACUCAAUAGGCGUUUUUUUCAAUGAGGGGAUUUAACUGAAGCGUGGAUGCUGAAGAUAACACAAUUCUGAAUAUCUUACUUGAGAAAAAAAA